GGCUUAGAGUUUGAUCAUGGCUCAGGAUGAACGCCGGCGGCGUGCUUAACACAUGCAAGUCGAACGGACAAGGAGAGCUUGCUCUUCUUGUUAGUGGCGGACGGGUGAGUAACGCGUGAGCAAUCUGCCCAUAUCAGGGGAAUAACAGUUAGAAAUGACUGCUAAUACCGCAUAAGACCACAGGAGGGCAUCCUCCAGGGGUAAAAGAUUUUAUCGGAUAUGGAUGAGCUCGCGUCCUAUUAGGCAGUUGGCGGGGUAACGGCCCACCAAACCGACGAUAGGUAGCCGACCUCAGAGGGUGAUCGGCCACAUUGGAACUGAGACACGGUCCAAACUCCUACGGGAGGCAGCAGUGGGGAAUAUUGGGCAAUGGAGGAAACUCUGACCCAGCAACGCCGCGUGAGUGAUGAAGGUCUUCGGAUUGUAAAACUCUUUAAGUGGGGACGAAGAAAGUGACUGUACCCACAGAAUAAGCCUCGGCUAACUACGUGCCAGCAGCCGCGGUAAUACGUAGGUGGCAAGCGUUAUCCGGAAUGACUGGGCGUAAAGGGUGCGUAGGUGGUUUGGCAAGUUGGCGGCGUAAUUCCGAGGCUCAACCUCGGCGCUACCGCCAAAACUGUCGGACUUGAGUGCAGGAGGGGUAAGUG
rnacentral:rRNA from 1 species